GAAAGGAUCUCUACUACCCUGAGCCUGGGAAGACCCUCCAGCAGGGACCCCAGGACAGAUGAAUAUUGUUUACCAGAUGGAUAUUGUUUCCCUAGAGAGAUACAUAAUCAGCAACUGGCUGGCUUCACUGCUGAAAACUUGCCUUGAGUUUGUGCUAGGUUAGAAUCUCCCUUCCUGCUACUGUUCUACCACCAACUGCACACACUUCUCUCUGUCUCUGUCUGUCUGUCUGUCUCUCUCUCUCUCUCUCUCUCUCUCUCUCUCACACACACACACACACACACACACACACACACACUCUCUCUCUCUCUCUCUCUCUCUCUCUCUCUCUCACACACACACACACACACACACACUUAAAAAAACUGACUUGGGGCACCUGGGUGGCUCAGUUGGUUAAGCUUUCAACUCUUGAUUUCAGCUCAGGUCAUUAUCUCACAGUUUGUGGGAUUGAGCCCCGCAUUGGGCUCUACACCAACAGUGCAGAGCCCACUUGGGAUUCUGUCUCUGCCCCACGCUGCCCCUCAAAAUAAGUAAAUAAAUUUUUUAAAAAACUGAAUUAACAGAAACUCAGGGGAUUAUGAGUCUUUGUAGAGUUAACCCUCUCCUUCCCCUCUCUGACCUCCUUCACUGCUGGGCUGGGCCCUGAGCCUCCAGGAACCUGUAGCAUUGACCUCUCUGCUGCACAAAGCACACCUGGUGGGAGUGACUGCAGGCUCUAGGCUUGUUUAGAGUCAGUAGGGUUUGUUUUACCAGAGCCACCAUCUCUCCCUCUUAAGUACUCUUAGAACUCUGGAUCCCUUUUUGCUUUCCCAAUAGAAACACUUCCCAACCAUCCACCUAGAGUCUCUUGACCUUUCUUUGUGGGAGAGUUGUUUGUGCAUCUCAAUGGUAAGGAAAAAGCCCUGUUAUACCCACCCCCCACACAAAAAUAGAGUAGGCUGAAUGCCUGAUAGCAACAGCAACUAAAAGUAGUUAGAAUAGAGUCCUGGCCCUACACUCAACUGUCAUUGCUCUUGCCAGCCACUUAAUAGGUGAGCCUGUAGUUUCUCCAGGUUCCUGCCCAGGCCCAAUCCUCUAUAUCAGGGAGGAUAACAAACCUUUACCACCAUCACUUUCUCCUCUGUGCUUCUACCACCCUUUAUGCAUUCCUCUCUCUCAUGCUCCUCUGUCUGCCUUAAAUGGUCUAAUAUGUGUUUCUGUCUUCUUUUUACCAUUAGACUAAAGUCUUUUUGCAAGAAUCAGUAUCUUUCCCUCCCCAAAGUACAUUGUUCCCUGCCUGCCCCAUGUUGAUAUUCAGUGACUAUCAAGUUUUUUAAACAAGUGGUGAACUUACUGAUGUUUAAUUAUUAGGAGGGCAAAAGGAAAGAAUAGGAGACUGCUCUGUCCACAGAGCUAAGCUUUAGAACUGCAAGUUGUCUUUAUGAGCAAAAAGUGGUGCUUGCCAGUUAUAAUGAAGGUUAGAGAGAACAGAUUGAAAAGAUGAGAAAGGAUGGGGGUAGGAAACGCCACAGAAGGGAGAAGCUGUUUGAUACCAGCCCUAAGUCCAUUGUUCACUUGUUCACUGCAGACAGGUAGCUCUUUACUCUUCCAAGGCCAGAGGAAAAGAAUCAGAAAUGGCAGUUGUGUGAGGACAUCCCAUAGAUUGCCAGACUAUUUAUUUUCUUGGGAAAACAAGGAUUCCAAAAGAUUCAUGAACCAGGGCAGGGCAGGCUCAGUCCCUUGAAUAACUGAAGCUUACCAAAUACCUUCCAGUGAGAUUUGGGACCAAGAUCCAUGUGAAGAUCCACAAGUCAGGCUGGCCUAGACCAAAUGUUAAUAUCUGUUGAGAUUUCUCCUGCUUCAGCUUCCUACCAUGUAUAAGGGUGAGGGACUAGUCUCAAAGACUCUCCAACCAAAUGCCCUCUAUUUGUAGGCAGCAUCUACAGCAUAGGGCAGCAUCUUUCUUCGAUGUUCUGAGCCUCCUUUCUUACCUUGGGGAACUAUAAUCCACAUCCUGGAAGGAAAUUGAAAGAUCCUCCAGACAUGCUCCCUAAAGCUUUGUUAGCCCUGAAUAUCUGAUGUCCUUUUCCCCCUCCUCUGGGUCCUGCCUAAGCAGAAGGCCUCCAGAAACUCAACUCAGAAUCCCUUGGCCCUUAUGACUCCUUUGAUUUUGGAAUCACUUCCUUGCCCCUCUCCUAUGAAAGGCCUCAUCUCCAAAGUCUGUGUUGGCUGAAACUGAAGAAGAAAGAAAGAAAGAAAGAAAGAAAGAAAGAAAGAAAGAAAGAAAGAAAGAAAGAAGGAAGGGAGAAAGAAAGGGAGAGAGAAAGGAGAAGGAAGGAAGGAAAGAAGGAAGGGAAGGUGGAUGGAGGGAGGGAGGGAGGAAAAGGACCUCCUUAUAUCCACUGCCCACCCUCACACAUUUUCUCCUUCUGCCUUAGGCCCUACCAGUCUAUCUUUUAUUUUCUUCAACCUUUUUCAUAACAUAAAAUUAGCCAUUUUAACCAUUGUUGAUCUAUUUUUAAAGAACUUUACACCUUCACCCCUUUUUCCAUUAAGUGAGAUAGUCUUUCCCUAAAGAUGUUGAAAUGGGAGCUGGAGGAGGUGUGGCAGGAUAGCAAGCUCAGAAAACCCUCUAGGUCGCAAGACUGUAUAGGCCAAGACAUGUGUCUCUAGCUGAUCCAAAAUAGGGCAUCUGAACAUCUGGCUCAGGGGAUAAGCUUAAGGAUAGGAAUGAAAGUCAGGAGCUAGGUGAGGCGAGGCCUCCCAGAGGAACCAAGAUUUUUCAAUUUCUGGCUCUGGUUUCUACCUCCUGGGUCAUGAGGCUUGUCCCCUAGGCCUUUAUGCACAGGCUUCCCUCAAGCCACAGCUGCUGUAGUGGGUGUCCCUGAGUUGAGGUAUUUGUCCUUUCUCCCAAACAAAGGCUUUUUAGUCAUAGGGUUUCCAGGGGAGUAAGAGUGGGGAGGAAUAGCAGAACAUCAAUCGAGGACAAGAAAUCCUAACCAUGAAGGAGGCAGAACAGGAUUCUAAAUCUUUUUUUUUUUUUAAAUUCACUGACCUCUUGUCUCCCCAUUUAAAAAAGAAUCUAGUUCUUUACCAUCCCAGUACUAGUUUCAGAUCUUUCACCAUCUUUUUUUCCCCCCUGAGUAGUUUCUGAGCUAUUUUUGAAAACUAAAUAAUGGGUAAGGGAGUAGGAGCUGCCAUUCUCAGUGGGUUAACUCCAGAGCCAUUUUGGUUAAUUUUCUUACCCCAAGUCUGAAAGCAAGGGAUACUCAUUCUGUGAAGUUUGCCUCCUGGCUCUGCAAUUAGUCACGGUUCCUACAGCUGAUGUACUGGCACAGGCCAAGGACGAGCUGAAGCAUGGUGGCCAGCCAUCAGGCAGUACUGUGCCCAUUUAGAGUUUUUCCCAAGCUUCAGUGUAACAAAGUCUUAUCACCUCUUAUUCUUAAUUGGUGGCCUCAAGUCAGGCAUAUUUUGUCUGGCAGAUGAUUCCAUUCCAGAGGGAAUUCUAUUCUUUGAAAGAAGUUUCCCCAGAGGCAACCAGAAAUUACCCUAGGGGUGCCUGGGUGGCGCAGUCGGUUGAGCGGCCGACUUCGGCUCAGGUCAUGAUCUCGUCGUCCGUGAGUUCGAGCCCUGCAUUGGGCUCUGUGCUGACAGCUCAGAGCCUGGAGCCUGUUUCAGAUUCUGUGUCUCCCUCUCUCUGACCCUCCCCUGUUCAUGCUCUGUCUCUCCCUGUCUCAAAAAUAAAUAAAACAUUAAAAAAAAAGAAA